rnacentral:rRNA from 1 species
GAUGAACGCUGGCGGCGUGCCUAAUACAUGCAAGUCGAGCGAACAGAUGAGGAGCUUGCUCCUCUGACGUUAGCGGCGGACGGGUGAGUAACACGUGGAUAACCUACCUAUAAGACUGGGAUAACUUCGGGAAACCGGAGCUAAUACCGGAUAAUAUAUUGAACCGCAUGGUUCAAUAGUGAAAGACGGUUUUGCUGUCACUUAUAGAUGGAUCCGCGCCGCAUUAGCUAGUUGGUAAGGUAACGGCUUACCAAGGCAACGAUGCGUAGCCGACCUGAGAGGGUGAUCGGCCACACUUGAACUGAGACACGGUCCAGACUCCUACGGGAGGCAGCAGUAGGGAAUCUUCCGCAAUGGGCGAAAGCCUGACGGAGCAACGCCGCGUGAGUGAUGAAGGUCUUCGGAUCGUAAAACUCUGUUAUUAGGGAAGAACAAAUGUGUAAGUAACUAUGCACGUCUUGACGGUACCUAAUCAGAAAGCCACGGCUAACUACGUG